rnacentral:tRNA from 1 species
GGGAGUAGAUGGGUUCUGGUGUGCCCUCCGGUCUUCAAAACCGGUAUGGGGGGUUAGUAGCUUCCUGGGUGGGUUCGAUUCCCACAUACUCCCGCCA